CUGGAGGUGGCUCAGAGGUAAAGAGCAUUGGCUGUUAUUCAAGGGAAUUUGGGUUUGAUUCCCAGCACCCAUA
rnacentral:tRNA from 1 species